UACGGAGAAUCCAAGCGUUAUCCGGAAUCAUUGGGUUUAAAGGGUCCGUAGGCGGUUUUGUAAGUCAGUGGUGAAAGCCCAUCGCUCAACGGUGGAACGGCCAUUGAUACUGCAAGACUUGAAUUAUUAGGAAGUAACUAGAAUAUGUAGUGUAGCGGUGAAAUGCUUAGAGAUUACAUGGAAUACCAAUUGCGAAGGCAGGUUACUACUAAUGGAUUGACGCUGAUGGACGAAAGCGUGGGGAGCGAACAGG
rnacentral:rRNA from 1 species